AGGAUGAACGCUGGCGGCGUGCCUAAUACAUGCAAGUCGAGCGGUAAGGCCACUUCGGUGGUACACGAGCGGCGGACGGCAGAGUAGCGCGUGGGAAUCUACCCCAAACUGAGGGAUAAGCACCAGAAAUGGUGUCUAAUACCGCAUAUGCUCUUCGGAGUAAAGCUACGGCGGUUUGGGAAGAGCCUGCGUAUGAUUAGCUUGUUGGUAAGGUAAAAGCUUACCAAGGCGACGAUCAUUAGCUGGUCUGAGAGGAUGAUCAGCCUGACUGGGACUGAGAACGGCCCAGACUCCUACGGGAGGCAGCAGUAGGGAAUUUUCCACAAUGGGCGAAAGCCUGAUGGAGCAACGCCGCGUGCAGGAUGAAUGCCUUAGGGUUGUAAACUGCUUUAUAUGUGAAGAUUAUGACGGUAGCAUAUGAAUAAGGAUCGGCUAACUCCGUGCCAGCAGCCGC
rnacentral:rRNA from 1 species